ensembl:lncRNA METTL14-DT METTL14 divergent transcript
GCUUGCUAUGUGACGCCACUUGGAAGGGACCCACCUACAGUGGCGGAAGUGGAGUAAGACAUCAUGUUGCCUCAAGUUUAAUUGGAAAUCGCGUGCCUUGUGAAGAAUGGACACUCAGUAGAUGCUUAUUGAUGAACCUGUUGGUUGAGGAUAACUCGCUAACUUUUCUGAGCUUUGUUGGAAAAACUAGACAGGGGUCUCACUAUGUGAUGCAGGAUGAUCUCAAACUCCCUGGCCUCAAGCGAUCCUCCUGCCUUGGUCUCCUAAAGUGCUGGGAUUACAGCAGGUCACUGUAUCUCUAUGCAUUACAGAAAAUGGCUAGUUAAAAACUUGUCAAGGCCAGUUGCAGGCAUGAUACCAGCAGUCUGGGAGGUAGAGACAAGAGGACACAUCUCUGCUGCUCCCUUCUUUCCCCAUGGUUAUGCGCCAACUUUGGUUUCACCAGGCCUACAGUGCUUCCCAGGUUUGGAGUGUGGGGAAGGAGAAGAUUUAAUGGAAGCAGCUUAAGGGAAAUGCUCAAACUAAACUGAUACUUUCUUCAUGAUCUAGCAUUGAAACUUUCUGGACUUGACAGAUAUUUAAAAUUAACUCUUUUUCUCAUUAACAUUUUCAUGGGUUCUUCCAAGAUCCACAUUACCCAACCUGUGGGUUCCCAUGACAAGGAUUAAGGCAUCUCUGUUUCUUCUGGACCUUUAUUUACCUGGAUUCUUUCUCUAGGGACUGUUUACCCUUAUGGGCCAUCCUUUUGAGCAUAACCUAACAAGAUUCAUGCUGGCUUUAAGUGAGUGGUCCACAUUUGGUUCAUGGGAAAACCACAUAGUUUGUCCCCAGCAAACCUGGAAGUAAUAUUUAUUUUACUGCUGGAAUUAAGGAAAACCAAAAAUCCUAUUACAAAAUGGCUCCUCUAAACAUUCACAUUACCCCUUUUUGUCUCUACCCCCUGAGGAACUAACCAACUCUAGCUCUUUGGAUUUUCCAAAUGAGAGGUCAACACAUCGAUGUCUCCAAGACCUUAAGUUCUUCUAGUGGUCUCUUUAAGCUUCCUCCCUUGAAUUAUGGUGAAAAGGGACUGCCUGCUACCCCCUCCUCUUGAGGAGAGGGGUGGUAUCACAGCCUAACAAUAAUUUCCAAAAAUUUUCUCCUCCAGCUCUAAUGCUUAACCAGUUUAGACUUUCAAAGUGGAUAAUGUAAUUUAAAGCCUUACAGCUAGUUAUGCUCUACUUCUUCUAUAAGUCCUGCAACCAGGUGGUCUCAAUCCUCACUUGCGAAUACUGCAUUUACUCACCUUGUGCCCUAGCCAAAACUUCCACAACAAAUUCUGUGGUGCAUUUAAGUGAAAGAUGUUAUUUGAUUGAUAGAGAGAUAGAUAGAUAGAUACAGAUAUAGAUAUAGAUAUGUAUUAGAACCAUGUCAAAUGGUUAACUUUUUUAAAAAGGUAAAUUUUUUAUAUUGAGAUAAUUAUAGAUUCUCAUACACUCGUAAGAAAUAACACAGAAAGAUCCCAUGUAGCCUUUAUCCAGUUUCCCCAGUGAUAAUAUCUUGCAAAACUAUAGUCCAAUAUCACAACCAAGAUACUGGCAUUGAUAGAUCACUUCCAUCACCACAAACAUCCCUCAUGUUGCCCUUUUAUAGCCACACUCAUUUCCCUCCUGCUGCCACCCUCUCCUUUACCCAUAACCACUUAUCUGUUCUCUAUUUUUGUAAUUUUAUCAUUUCAAGAAUACUGUAGAAAUGGAAUAAUACAGUAUGUAUUUUAGGGCUUAUCUUUUCUACACUCGGCAUGAUUCUCUGGAGAUUCAUCCAGGUUGUUGCAUGUAUCAAUAGUUCAUUCCUUUUUUACUGCUGAACAGUAUUCCAUUGUAUGUAUGUACCAUAGUUUAACUAUUUGCUCAAUGAAAGACAUAUAUUAAUAGUUUCCAGUUUUUGC